GUGAGGAAUUUUGCGCAAUGGGGGCAACCCUGACGCAGCAACGCCGCGUGGGCGAUGAAGGCCUUCGGGUCGUAAAGCCCUGUCGGGUGGGAAGAAGGCCCUUUUCAUGAAUAAGGGGAAGGGAUGACGGUACCACCGAAGGAAGCACCGGCUAACUCCGUGCCAGCAGCCGCGGUAAUACGGAGGGUGCGAGCGUUAUUCGGAAUUACUGGGCGUAAAGCGCGUGCAGGCGGCCGCACAAGUCUGAUGUGAAAGCCCGGGGCUCAACCCCGGAAGGGCAUUGGAAACUAUGCGGCUUGAGUCCCGGAGAGGAAGGGGGAAUUCCCGGUGUAGAGGUGAAAUUCGUAGAGAUCGGGAGGAAUACCAGUGGCGAAGGCGCCCUUCUGGACGGGAACUGACGCUGAGACGCGAAAGCGUGGGGAGCAAACAGGAUUAGAAACCCCUGUAGUCC
rnacentral:rRNA from 1 species